AAGUCGACUUCCGCAAGGACAUCUGCAGAGGUGCUGCAUGGCUGUCGUCAGCUCGUGUCGUGAGAUGUUGGGUUAAGUCCCGCAACGAGCGCAACCCUUGUUCUCUGUUGCCAUCAGGUAAAGCUGGGCACUCUGAGGAGACUGCCGGUGACAAACCGGAGGAAGGUGGGGAUGACGUCAAGUCAGCAUGGCCUUUAUGUCCAGGGCUACACACACGCUACAAUGGCCGGUACAACGGGUUCCGACACGGCGACGUGAAGGCAAUCCCUUAAAGCCGGUCUCAGUUCGGAUUGUUGGCUGCAACUCGCCAGCAUGAAGUCGGAGUUGCUAGUAACCGCAGGUCAGCACACUGCGGUGAAUACGUCCCCGGGCCUUGCACUCACCGCCCGUCACAUCGCCCGAGUCUGGUGCUCCCGAAGUCGCUGGCCGAACCCGUGAGGGACGGAGGCGCCGAAGGAGUGCCCGGUGAGGGGGGUGAAGUCGUAACAAGGUAACCGU
rnacentral:rRNA from 1 species